AGCGAACGCUGGCGGCAGGCUUAACACAUGCAAGUCGAGCGGGCACUUUCGGGUGUCAGCGGCGGACGGGUGAGUAACGCGUGGGAACGUGCCCUCUGGUUCGGAAUAACUCAGGGAAACUUGAGCUAAUACCGGAUACGCCCUUUUGGGGAAAGGCUUGCUGCCGGAGGAUCGGCCCGCGCCUGAUUAGCUAGUUGGUGAGGUAACGGCUCACCAAGGCGACGAUCAGUAGCUGGUCUGAGAGGAUGAUCAGCCACACUGGGACUGAGACACGGCCCAGACUCCUACGGGAGGCAGCAGUGGGGAAUACUGGACAAUGGGCGCAAGCCUGAUCCAGCCAUGCCGCGUGAGUGAUCAAGGCCUUAGGGUUGUAAAGCUCUUUUAUCCGGGACGAUAAUGACGGUACCGGAGGAAUAAGCCCCGGCUAACUUC
rnacentral:rRNA from 1 species